GUUGUACAUUCAUAUGUGACUUGUAUCUCUCCUAACCUGUAUGGAAGAAUUGUUCUUUUACCUGUAGUAACUGCACAUCCUACAGAUCAUAUGACGAAUAAACCCCGCCAGAUCUUCUUACAUGUGAGUUGUGACUGAGUAAACUAUCUGGGAAGGUGAUUUGGUAUGGAUAAUCUCAUCAGGGCAAUGAGCGCCAUGUGCUCCUGAAAAAUACAUUCAUAGCCUCUGCAGCCGGUCCAGAAUAGUAAAAGAACGUAUCCAGCAGCUUGUACAGAGAUUGCUGUGUCACAGGACAGAUCAUAGUGAAGUGUAACUGUGUGUAUUGUAUGAGAAGUCUGCAUACAACCCCAGCACAGCUUGUUACAGCCCCACACAGUAUACAGACACACUUCACUGCUACAGCCAAGCC